ACUAGAUUUUGAAGGGGAAAGAACAUCUGUAUGGAAUGACUUCUUUCCUUUAAGUGGAAACCAUGGCGACAGUUCUCUGGCAGGACGGCUGAGGCACCAGGUCUGCAUUUGCCAUUCGAGCUCAACAUAUCCCUUUUACCUGGGACUCAGAGGACCUGGUAACAAGUGGGAAUGGGUACAUGCCAGAUGCUGGAUUGUGGGGAAGAAAUGGACACUGGCAAGCUAAGAUGGAAGUAACUUGACAACUUCAAGCCUAGAAGUUUCAUCUGGAAAGGACAGCUUAAGACUGGAUCAUAAGCUUUACUGGGACAGCAGUAUGCAGGAAGCUGGCUUUCAGGCCACAAAUGCUUUCACAGAGUGCAAAUUCACCUGCACCAGUGGCAAAUGCUUGUAUCUUGGCUCACUGGUCUGUAACCAACAAAACGAUUGUGGGGACAACAGUGACGAAGAGAACUGCCUACUUGUAACAGAGCAUCCGCCUCCAAGCAUCUUCAGCUCACCAGAACUCCUCCUCCUCAUUGA